GUGCUUACUUAGGCAACACAUAUACUAAAAUUGUAAUAAUACAGAGAAGGUUAGCAUGGCCCCUGUGCAAGGAUGACACACAAAUUCGUGAAGCAUUCCGUAUUUAA